rnacentral:rRNA from 1 species
UACGGAGGGUGCGAGCGUUAAUCGGAAUUACUGGGCGUAAAGCGCACGCAGGCGGUUUGUUAAGCUAGAUGUGAAAGCCCCGGGCUCAACCUGGGAUAGUCAUUUAGAACUGGCAGACUAGAGUCUUGGAGAGGGGAGUGGAAUUCCAGGUGUAGCGGUGAAAUGCGUAGAUAUCUGGAGGAACAUCAGUGGCGAAGGCGACUCCCUGGCCAAAGACUGACGCUCAUGUGCGAAAGUGUGGGUAGCGAACAGG